rnacentral:rRNA from 1 species
AAAUGUAAAUUUUAUAUUACCUGGGUACUAUUAGUUAGGUUCUUGAAACCCAAAGAAUUUGGCGGUAUCUUAUUCCAUUCAGAGGAACCUACUCCGUGAUUGAUAAUACACGAUUAACUAUACUUAAUUUAUUUGUUUGUAUAUCUCUGUUAUCAGAAUAUCUUUUUAGAGUUAUAAUUUUCUUAAUUUAUAAUUAUGAAUUAUUUCAAGUCAAGGUGCAGCUUAUAAUUAAGAGGAAGUGGGUUACAAUAAAUUUUUAUUUACAUGGAUUUGAUUUUUAAUUAUUUUAAUGAAGGUGGAUUUGAUAGUAAUUUGAUUUAUUUAAUUUAAAUGAUAUUGGCUAUGAGAU